AAAGAGCUGGGAAAUGCCAAGGGGCAGGUACUGCGAGAGAAAGAUUUAAUGAAAAGGGAAAAAGCAGAUCCUAAUCAGGGGAGGUGAUGUGCAGAGAGGAGUUCUGAAGGAAAGUGAGUGGGAAUUGUGCCUUUUAAAGUCUGUAGAAACUAAUGGUACAUGAUAAGAAUUGGAUUUCAGCUUCUAAAUCACUCUAAGACUUUUGGCAACUAUAACCCACAAGUCUUUGAAUCCACAGAGAUGAGGAAGAAGCUUCAGCAGGAGAUUUUUGCAAAGGCUCGACAGUGGUUGCUGUGAGGACAGCCUGGCAGGGUGAAGUCAUUUUUAUAUGUCCUGGUUGUAUUUCAUCAUGCUGAUGUCACCAGUGUCAAUAUGGUAUUUAUGAAGCUGGAGGUCAAUAUUCAAACUGGGUUUAGGCUCCACUGGCAAAGCUGUAGCUCUGGCUGCAUUCGAUCCUCUUUGGCUGACAUGGAGCCAGAGGGGUUUUUCCAUGUCAUUCAGUUAAAGGAGUUUCCACUGCCUGGCUUUCUGCUCUCACUGCACCAUAAUGCAGUGACAACAUGCUUUUAGAAUAACAAAAACAAACCAAAGCAAAAUAAUUACAAUAAAAAAAUCCUCUGAGGAAAGAGUAGGAAAAAAACAACCACAAAACCAAAAAAACCCCAAACAUCAAACCAGCAAAGAGACUGAAUGUGAGAAAACAGCCAAGGAAUAAUGUGAAAAAUUGAUGAGCAGAGCUACAGAUACUGGAAAACAAUAAACAAGCAAAAUCUGCUUC